CGUGUUUGACAGGCGGCGCGCUGAGUGGCUGCGUGGACGCCAGCCAAACGCUCGCGAUUCACCAAUGACUAACUGUUCAAAGCGGCACUCUCAGAGCUAAUCACCUGCAUGCUCAUUGUAAACAAAUACUGUAAAUUGAGAGUGGAUGCGUCGCACAACCACACUCAGCUCCCCGCACCUGAAUCCGCGUUGUCGAGUUUGUGCAGCCAUUAUGCGCAGCCCUCUCUAUCAAGCCCAAUUGUCAGAGCCCGGCGCCUUUAAUUGCCUUACAGCAAAUUUGACAUUGUCCACGCUGACUGCACUCUGAUGAGAGGAAGAAAAGCGGAGCGGCGCUGGAUCCACCACUUCCUCCAAUCAGCAAAAGACGAGAGGCACCCCGAAGCCACGCUCCGUUUGAUCGCCCGCGCAAGGCAACAAGCCACGCAACGCAAACGGGGACGUUAAUCUCACGCGAAGACGGGCCUUUGAGCGCGUGCCAGCCUGAUCAUCCUUCAGACGAUGAAUCCAUGAUGCCAACCACUUUUUGGAGUUCAAGACAAAAGUAAACCUCCUGCCGAUUCUGUUUCACAACAACAUCACCAGCAACAAAGAAGAGGAUGGACUCCUCCAGCUCUAGACUUUGUAUCUCCGGCCCACAACACAGAUGCUAUCACAGCCUCUGGCGCCGCAGCCAGCCAGUUAUUCGUAUCCGCCGAGUUUCUGGCACGAGGCGUACGAUUGGUUUCGAGUCCUAUUGUCUCCGUGAAAUAGUAAUGAUAAUAAAAAAAAAUUUUUGGUGUUGACAGAGAAA